AUGUUUACAACACAUAGAUGUUUCAGAGUGUCGUGCCAUUCGAAACUCCCUGACAAAUUUGGUGCCCUUUUGAAACUCAUAUUCCUAAAUUUGUCAGGUUGUUCCAAGAUAACCAAACUACCUGACCAUCUUAAACUUGAGUCUUUAGAGCAUAUGAACUUAUCAAAUUGCCACGAGCUAGAAAACCUGCCAAAAGAUUUUGGCAACCUUCAAAGACUUGGGUUCUUGAGCCUUUCUGAUUGCUACAAGGUUUCAUUGCUGCCAGAAUCAUUUUGCCAACUUUUUCAUUUGAAAUCCUUAGAUCUUUCAGACUGCCAUGAGCUCAGGGAACUUCCUGAGUAUUUUGGUAACCUUUUUGAGCUUGACUCUUUGAACCUAACAAGUUGUUGCAAGCUGCAAGUACUGCCCGAGUCAUUGUGCAAGUUGUCUAAGCUGAGGUGUCUCAAUUUGUCUUAUUGUAUGAGGCUUGAUAAGCUCCCAUCCUCGUUCGGUGACCUUAAGCUUCAAUCGUUGGACAUCUCUUCUACAGUAUCUCUCAAUGCCUUGCCGGAUAGCAUUACUGAAAUGACAAGUCUCACUCGAUUUGGGGCCACGGAAGGAACUCCAAAAGUGAUUGCCAGCUUUCGCAAAAUUCAAAAGCAUCUUAAUUUUCCAGGAAUAAUAGAGCAUGGUGUACAAGAGAUAGAAAAUAAAGGAUGCAGCAGUAUAGUGAAACUUGCACAGUUGACUUGUUAUCAGAUGCAUGUUUCACAGCUUCAGAAUGUUAGGAAUCCAGAAGACGCGGAGAUAGCAAAGUUGCGUGAUAAAUCAGAUCUGAGGCAACUAACUCUUCGCUGGGGAAACCAGGGAGGCGAGGGUAAAUCUAUAUUGGAGAAUCUCGUACCUCCCCAGACUCUUGAUUCUUUUUGUCUAGGCGGAUAUAUGAGCAAGGAUUUCCCUAAAUGGAUGUCAGACAUCUCUUCCUACCUCCCUUCUCUCACCUACCUCGGCCUUUGUGAUUUAGGAACAUGUGAUACUCUUCCUUCAUUUGGGCAGCUGCCAAAUUUAAGAGGCAUAUCGAUGGAAAACAUUCCCAAUGUCAGGAAAAUAGGCAAGGAAUUCUUUGGGCGGGGCAGAAAGUGUAUAAAAUUAAGAUCCAUACAGUUGUGGUUGAUGGAGAACUUGGCUGAAUUGUGGACAACAAGGUCAGGUGAAGAAAAUGAAGAGUUCUUAAUUCCGAAUUUGCACCAUUUGUCUGUAUUCAACUGCCAAAAUUGA
rnacentral:rRNA from 1 species